GGUUAAGCGACUAAGCGUACACGGUGGAUGCCCUGGCAGUCAGAGGCGAUGAAGGACGUGCUAAUCUGCGAUAAGCGUCGGUAAGGUGAUAUGAACCGUUAUAACCGGCGAUUUCCGAAUGGGGAAACCCAGUGUGUUUCGACACACUAUCAUUAACUGAAUCCAUAGGUUAAUGAGGCGAACCGGGGGAACUGAAACAUCUAAGUACCCCGAGGAAAAGAAAUCAACCGAGAUUCCCCCAGUAGCGGCGAGCGAACGGGGAGCAGCCCAGAGCCUGAAUCAGUGUGUGUGUUAGUGGAAGCGUCUGGAAAGGCGCGCGAUACAGGGUGACAGCCCCGUACACAAAAAUGCACAUGCUGUGAGCUCGAUGAGUAGGGCGGGACACGUGGUAUCCUGUCUGAAUAUGGGGGGACCAUCCUCCAAGGCUAAAUACUCCUGACUGACCGAUAGUGAACCAGUACCGUGAGGGAAAGGCGAAAAGAACCCCGGCGAGGGGAGUGAAAAAGAACCUGAAACCGUGUACGUACAAGCAGUGGGAGCACAGAGCAAUCUGUGUGACUGCGUACCUUUUGUAUAAUGGGUCAGCGACUUAUAUUCUGUAGCAAGGUUAACCGAAUAGGGGAGCCGAAGGGAAACCGAGUCUUAACUGGGCGUUAAGUUGCAGGGUAUAGACCCGAAACCCGGUGAUCUAGCCAUGGGCAGGUUGAAGGUUGGGUAACACUAACUGGAGGACCGAACCGACUAAUGUUGAAAAAUUAGCGGAUGACUUGUGGCUGGGGGUGAAAGGCCAAUCAAACCGGGAGAUAGCUGGUUCUCCCCGAAAGCUAUUUAGGUAGCGCCUCGUGAAUUCAUCUCCGGGGGUAGAGCACUGUUUCGGCAAGGGGGUCAUCCCGACUUACCAACCCGAUGCAAACUGCGAAUACCGGAGAAUGUUAUCACGGGAGACACACGGCGGGUGCUAACGUCCGUCGUGAAGAGGGAAACAACCCAGACCGCCAGCUAAGGUCCCAAAGUCAUGGUUAAGUGGGAAACGAUGUGGGAAGGCCCAGACAGCCAGGAUGUUGGCUUAGAAGCAGCCAUCAUUUAAAGAAAGCGUAAUAGCUCACUGGUCGAGUCGGCCUGCGCGGAAGAUGUAACGGGGCUAAACCAUGCACCGAAGCUGCGGCAGCGACGCUGAUGCGUUGUUGGGUAGGGGAGCGUUCUGUAAGCCUGCGAAGGUGUGCUGUGAGGCAUGCUGGAGGUAUCAGAAGUGCGAAUGCUGACAUAAGUAACGAUAAAGCGGGUGAAAAGCCCGCUCGCCGGAAGACCAAGGGUUCCUGUCCAACGUUAAUCGGGGCAGGGUGAGUCGACCCCUAAGGCGAGGCCGAAAGGCGUAGUCGAUGGGAAACAGGUUAAUAUUCCUGUACUUGGUGUUACUGCGAAGGGGGGACGGAGAAGGCUAUGUUGGCCGGGCGACGGUUGUCCCGGUUUAAGCGGGUAGGCUGGUUUUCCAGGCAAAUCCGGAAAAUCAAGGCUGAGGCGUGAUGACGAGGCACUACGGUGCUGAAGCAACAAAUGCCCUGCUUCCAGGAAAAGCCUCUAAGCAUCAGGUAACAUCAAAUCGUACCCCAAACCGACACAGGUGGUCAGGUAGAGAAUACCAAGGCGCUUGAGAGAACUCGGGUGAAGGAACUAGGCAAAAUGGUGCCGUAACUUCGGGAGAAGGCACGCUGAUAUGUAGGUGAAGCGACUUGCUCGUGGAGCUGAAAUCAGUCGAAGAUACCAGCUGGCUGCAACUGUUUAUUAAAAACACAGCACUGUGCAAACACGAAAGUGGACGUAUACGGUGUGACGCCUGCCCGGUGCCGGAAGGUUAAUUGAUGGGGUCAGCGCAAGCGAAGCUCUUGAUCGAAGCCCCGGUAAACGGCGGCCGUAACUAUAACGGUCCUAAGGUAGCGAAAUUCCUUGUCGGGUAAGUUCCGACCUGCACGAAUGGCGUAAUGAUGGCCAGGCUGUCUCCACCCGAGACUCAGUGAAAUUGAACUCGCUGUGAAGAUGCAGUGUACCCGCGGCAAGACGGAAAGACCCCGUGAACCUUUACUAUAGCUUGACACUGAACAUUGAGCCUUGAUGUGUAGGAUAGGUGGGAGGCUUUGAAGUGUGGACGCCAGUCUGCAUGGAGCCGACCUUGAAAUACCACCCUUUAAUGUUUGAUGUUCUAACGUUGACCCGUAAUCCGGGUUGCGGACAGUGUCUGGUGGGUAGUUUGACUGGGGCGGUCUCCUCCUAAAGAGUAACGGAGGAGCACGAAGGUUGGCUAAUCCUGGUCGGACAUCAGGAGGUUAGUGCAAUGGCAUAAGCCAGCUUGACUGCGAGCGUGACGGCGCGAGCAGGUGCGAAAGCAGGUCAUAGUGAUCCGGUGGUUCUGAAUGGAAGGGCCAUCGCUCAACGGAUAAAAGGUACUCCGGGGAUAACAGGCUGAUACCGCCCAAGAGUUCAUAUCGACGGCGGUGUUUGGCACCUCGAUGUCGGCUCAUCACAUCCUGGGGCUGAAGUAGGUCCCAAGGGUAUGGCUGUUCGCCAUUUAAAGUGGUACGCGAGCUGGGUUUAGAACGUCGUGAGACAGUUCGGUCCCUAUCUGCCGUGGGCGCUGGAGAACUGAGGGGGGCUGCUCCUAGUACGAGAGGACCGGAGUGGACGCAUCACUGGUGUUCGGGUUGUCAUGCCAAUGGCACUGCCCGGUAGCUAAAUGCGGAAGAGAUAAGUGCUGAAAGCAUCUAAGCACGAAACUUGCCCCGAGAUGAGUUCUCCCUGACUCCUUGAGAGUCCUGAAGGAACGUUGAAGACGACGACGUUGAUAGGCCGGGUGUGUAAGCGCAGCGAUGCGUUGAGCUAACCGGUACUAAUGAACCGUGAGGCUUAACCUU
rnacentral:rRNA from 1 species